rnacentral:rRNA from 1 species
AUUGAACGCUGGCGGCAGGCCUAACACAUGCAAGUCGAACGAGUGGCGGACGGGUGAGUAAUGUCUGGGAAACUGCCCGAUGGAGGGGGAUAACUACUGGACACGUUAGCUAAUACCGCAUACCAGCGGAUGGGCCCAGAUGGGAUUAGCUAGUGGGGGGGGUAAUGGCUCACCUAGGCGACGGUCCCUAGCUGGUCUGAGAGGAUGACCAGCCAAACUGGAACUGAGACACGGCCCAGACGCCUACGGGAGGCAGCAGUGGGGAAUAUUGCACAAUGGGCGCAAGUCUGACGGAGCAAUGCCGCGUGUAUGAAGAAGGCCUUCGGGUUGUAAAGUACUUUCAGCGGGGAGGCGGUACCCGAAGAAGAAGCACCGGCUAACUCCGUGCCAGCAGCCGCGGUAAUAC